GGUAGUCCACGCCGUAAACGAUGUACACUAGUUGUUGUGAGGCUCGACCUUGCAGUAAUGCAGUUAACACAUUAAGUGUACCGCCUGGGGAGUACGGUCGCAAGAUUAAAACUCAAAGGGAUAGACGGGGACCCGCACAAGCGGUGGAGCAUGUGGUUUAAUUCGACGAUACACGAAGAACCUUACCUGGACUUGACAUAGUAAGAACUUUCUAGAGAUAGAUUGGUGUCUGCUUGCAGAAACUUAUAUACAGGUGCUGCACGGCUGUCGUCAGCUCGUGUCGUGAGAUGUUGGGUUAAGUCCCGCAACGAGCGCAACCCUCGUCAUUAGUUGCUAACAGUUCGGCUGAGAACUCUAAUGAGACUGCCUACGCAAGUAGGAGGAAGGUGAGGACGACGUCAAGUCAUCAUGGCCCUUACGUCCAGGGCUACACACGUGCUACAAUGGGGCAUACAAAGAGCAGCAAUACCGCGAGGUGGAGCAAAUCUCAAAAAUGUCUCUCAGUUCGGAUUGUAGUCUGCAACUCGACUACAUGAAGUUGGAAUCGCUAGUAAUCGUAGAUCAGCUAUGCUACGGUGAAUACGUUCCCGGGUCUUGUACUCACCGCCCGUCACACCAUGGGAGUUGAACUCAUUCGAAGCGGGGAUGCUAAAGUAGCUACCUUCCACAGUGGAUUCAGCGACUGGGGUGAAGUCGUAACAAGGUAACC
rnacentral:rRNA from 1 species